rnacentral:rRNA from 1 species
AACGCGAAGAACCUUACCAGCCCUUGACAUCCCGGUCGCGGGAACGAGAGAUCGAUCCCUUCAGUUCGGCUGGACCGGAGACAGGUGCUGCAUGGCUGUCGUCAGCUCGUGUCGUGAGAUGUUGGGUUAAGUCCCGCAACGAGCGCAACCCUCGCCCUUAGUUGCCAUCAUUCAGUUGGGCCCUCUAAGGGGACUGCCGGUGAUAAGCCGCGAGGAAGGUGGGGAUGACGUCAAGUCCUCAUGGCCCUUACGGGCUGGGCUACACACGUGCUACAAUGGCGGUGACAGUGGGACGCAAUGGGGCAACCCUGCGCAAAUCUCAAAAAGCCGUCUCAGUUCGGAUUGCACUCUGCAACUCGAGUGCAUGAAGUUGGAAUCGCUAGUAAUCGCAGAUCAGCACGCUGCGGUGAAUACGUUCCCGGGCCUUGUA